rnacentral:ribozyme from 1 species
GUUCACCUGCGCCGCUUUUUCGCCUUCCGGAAUUAUGCUGGCGUACGGGAGUAGUGCCGGUGCCGUACACCUGCUAUCUUCUGCUCCGGCAUGUCGAGGAGGAGGAGGAGGAGGAGGAGCAGGGGCCGCGUCAACGACGAGCGCAGCCUCGCUCUUCAGGAG